GUGGGUGUAGGAAUAUUGAGAGGAUCUGUCCCUAGUACGAGAGGACCGGGAUGGACGUACCUCUGGUGGACCUGUUGUGGCGCCAGCCGCAUUGCAGGGUAGCUAUGUAUGGACGGGAUAACCGCUGAAUGCAUCUAAGCGGGAAACCCACCUCAAAACCAGUUCUCCCUGAAGAGCCGUGGAAGACCACCACGUCGAUAGGAAGCGUGUGGAAGUGUGGCAAC
rnacentral:rRNA from 1 species